rnacentral:rRNA from 1 species
CAAAAACAUCGCCUCCUGAAAGAUUAUAGGAGGUCCAGCCUGCCCAGUGAUAAAAUUAAACGGCCGCGGUACCCUAACCGUGCGAAGGUAGCGCAAUCACUUGUUCUUUAAAUGAGGACUAGUAUGAACGGCAUCACGAGGAUUAUACUGUCUCCCUUCUUUAAUCAGUGAAACUGAUCCCCCCGUGAAGAAGCGGGAAUAAACAUAUAAGACGAGAAGACCCUAUGGAGCUUUAAACUUAACACCACUUAUCUAAAACACUUCAUAAUAAACAGAUAAGCCUGUGCGCAUUUUAGGUUGGGGUGACCGCGGAGUAAAAUUUAACCUCCACGUUGAAAGGCCUUUAUCCUUAUCCAAGAGCCACAUCUCCAAGAAUCAACAAAUUGACAUUUAUUGACCCA